rnacentral:rRNA from 1 species
GCCAGACUCCUACGGGAGGCAGCAGUGGGGAAUAUUGCACAAUGGGGGAAACCCUGAUGCAGCGACGCCGCGUGAGUGAAGAAGUAUUUCGGUAUGUAAAGCUCUAUCAGCAGGGAAGAAAAUGACGGUACCUGACUAAGAAGCCCCGGCUAACUACGUGCCAGCAGCCGCGGUAAUACGUAGGGGGCAAGCGUUAUCCGGAUUUACUGGGUGUAAAGGGAGCGUAGACGGCUGUGCAAGUCUGGAGUGAAAGGCAUGGGCUCAACCUGUGGACUGCUUUGGAAACUGUGCGGCUUGAGUGUCGGAGAGGCAAGUGGAAUUCCUAGUGUAGCGGUGAAAUGCGUAGAUAUUAGGAGGAACACCAGUGGCGAAGGCGGCUUACUGGACUGUAACUGACGUUGAGGCUCGAAAGCGUGGGGAGCAAACAGGAUUAGAUACCCCCGUACC